GGAGGUGUAGCUCGGUGGUAUAGCACUUGCCUAAAACACUUGCAAGACUCUGGGUUCACUACUCGGCACUUCCA
rnacentral:tRNA from 1 species